rnacentral:rRNA from 1 species
UACAGAGGUGGCAAGCGUUGUUCGGAUUUACUGGGCGUAAAGGGCACGUAGGCGGCCGAAUAACUCAUGUGUGGAAUCUCCCGUUCUAUUCGGGAAAAGGCAUAUGAAAAUGUUCGGCUUGAGAGCAAUAGGGGUGAGCGGAACUCCUGGUGGAGCGGUGAAAUGCGUAGAUAUCAGGAGGAACACCCGAAGCGAAGGCGGCUCACUAGGUUGUUUCUGACGCUGAGGUGCGAAAGCCAGGGGAGCAAACGGG